rnacentral:rRNA from 1 species
CUACGGGGGGCAGCAGUGGGGAAUAUUGCACAAUGGGCGCAAGCCUGAUGCAGCCAUGCCGCGUGUAUGAAGAAGGCCUUCGGGUUGUAAAGUACUUUCAGCGGGGAGGAAGGGAGUAAAGUUAAUACCUUUGCUCAUUGACGUUACCCGCAGAAGAAGCACCGGCUAACUCCGUGCCAGCAGCCGCGGUAAUACGGAGGGUGCAAGCGUUAAUCGGAGUUACUGGGCGUAAAGCGCACGCAGGCGGUUUGUUAAGUCAGAUGUGAAAUCCCCGGGCUCAACCUGGGAACUGCAUCUGAUACUGGCAAGCUUGAGUCUCGUAGAGGGGGGAAGAAUUCCAGGUGUAGCGGUGAAAUGCGUAGAGAUCUGGAGGAAUACCGGUGGCGAAGGCGGCCCCCUGGACGAAGACUGACGCUCAGGUGCGAAAGCGUGGGGAGCAAACAGGAUUAGAUACCCUCGUAGUC